rnacentral:rRNA from 1 species
CGAUGAAGAGUUUGAUCCUGGCUCAGGACGAACGCUGGCGGCGUGCCUAAUGCAUGCAAGUCGCACGCGGUGCCUUCGGGCACUGAGUGGCGAACGGCUGAGGAACACGUGGGGACCUGUCCGGGAGUGGGGGACAACACCGCGAAAGCGGUGCUAAUCCCGCAUACGCUCUGAGGAGGAAAGCCGAAAGGCGCUCCCGGGUGGCCCUG